rnacentral:rRNA from 1 species
GGUACCCACAGAAGAAGUCCCGGCAAACUCCGUGCCAGCAGCCGCGGUAAUACGGAGGGGGCAAGCGUUGUUCGGAAUUAUUGGGCGUAAAGGGCAUGUAGGCGGUUUGGUAAGUUAAAGGUGAAAUACCAGGGCUUAACCCUGGGGCUGCUUUUAAUACUGCAGGACUAGAGUCCGGAAGAGGAUAGCGGAAUUCCUAGUGUAGAGGUGAAAUUCGUAGAUAUUAGGAGGAACACCAGUGGCGAAGGCGGCUGUCUGGUCCGGUACUGUACGCUGUAGNNGCGAAAGNCGUGG